rnacentral:misc_RNA from 1 species
GAUGAAGAACGCAGCGAAAUGUGAUACUUGGUGUGAAUUGCAGAAUCCCGUGAACCAUCGAGUCUUUGAACGCAAGUUGCGCCUCAAGCCAUUAGGUUGAGGGCACGUCUGCCUGGGCGUCACAUAUCGUUGCCUGAUGCCAGUUUCCUCGUGAUGGGUGACUGUGCAGGGCGAAUGAUGGCUUCCCGUGAGCAUUGUUGCCUCAUGGUUGGUUGAAAAUUGAGUCCUUGGUAGGGAGCGCCGUGAUAGAUGGUGGUUGAGUGACGAACGAGACCCAAUCAUGUGAGACCCCUACCGAAUUUGGCCUUCAUGACCCACAUGCGUCUUUGGAACGCUCAUGACGAGACCUCAGGUCAGGCGGGGCUACCCGCUGAGUUUAAGCAUAUCAAUAAGCGGAGGA